rnacentral:rRNA from 1 species
GCAAGUCGAGGGGUAACAGGGGUGCUUGCACUCGCUGACGACCGGCGCACGGGUGCGUAACGCGUAUAGAAUCUACCUUUUACAAGGGGAUAGCCUUUAGAAAUGAAGAUUAAUACCUUAUAGUAUUGAGACUUGGCAUCAAGACUUAAUUAAAGAUUUAUCGGUAAAAGAUGGCUAUGCGUCCUAUUAGCUAGAUGGUAAGGUAACGGCUUACCAUGGCGACGAUAGGUAGGGGCCCUGAGAGGGGGAUC